UCGCCUACAUGAAGCUGGAAUUGCUAGUAAUCACAGGUCAGCAUACUGUGGUGAAUACGUUCCCGGGCCUUGUACACACCGCCCGUCACACCAUGAGAGUUGAGAAUACCCGAAGCCCAUGUCAAAGUGGUCGAAGGUAGGCUUGAUGAUUGGGGUGAAGUCGUAACAAGGUACC
rnacentral:rRNA from 1 species